UCGGCCCAGACUUGUCACAUGAAGAGAGGGGUUAGAGUGUACUUAUCUACACUUACGUUCGACACACCCCAACUGCAAUCAGAAUCUCCCACCUCCACCGCGCUGAAAAACCAUUGAAGGUGGAAUCAAGAGGGCACUUACAGUUGAAGAUGAUAGCUGUGGUGAUGCCUCCUGAGAAAUUUCUACCAUUCUCUAAUAAAUUAAUCCAACUCUAAACUGGUUGAUUAAGAUGAACCUCAAUAAGGUACUCUAGAAUAAAGGGUCUUCUUACUGAAGCGCGUAUCUGUCGUCACCAGCGUUGUCAUGUUUUAAAUUUCCUUUGGUUUCUUCUUUCUCUUUGAAACCGUCUAACAGCAAGCCUUGAUGAGCGUGGGAUUGGACUGUUGUGAAGUGCCUCAAUCCAUACUUCAAGGCCGCAGAUGGUUAGGUGUUUGUAUUGUAAUGAGAGUAAUGGAUAAUUGUUGUAAUGUGGGUAUUAUUGAUGAGGUGGAUACAUAUUAUGUUAAAUGGUCAUUUCAAUGA